UACGAAGGGUGCAAGCGUUGCUCGGAAUUAUUGGGCGUAAAGGGUUGGUAGGUGGUCUUGUUUGUCUAAGGUGAAAUCCCAUGGCUUAACUGUGGAAGUGCCUUAGAAACGGCAAGACUAGAGUCCUAGAGGGGUUUGUGGAAUUCCCGGUGUAGCGGUGAAAUGCGUAGAGAUCGGGAGGAACACCAGCGGCGAAGGCGGCAAACUGGAUAGGCACUGACACUCAACAGCGAAAGCGUGGGGAGCAAACAGG
rnacentral:rRNA from 1 species